AGAGUUUGAUCAUGGCUCAGAUUGAACGCUGGCGGCAGGCUUAACACAUGCAAGUCGAGCGGGGAAAGGUAGCUUGCUACCUUACCUAGCGGCGGACGGGUGAGUAAUGCUUAGGAAUCUGCCUAUUAGUGGGGGACAACAUUUCGAAAGGAAUGCUAAUACCGCAUACGCCCUACGGGGGAAAGCAGGGGACCUUCGGGCCUUGCGCUAAUAGAUGAGCCUAAGUCGGAUUAGCUAGUUGGUGGGGUAAAGGCCUACCAAGGCGACGAUCUGUAGCGGGUCUGAGAGGAUGAUCCGCCACACUGGGACUGAGACACGGCCCAGACUCCUACGGGAGGCAGCAGUGGGGAAUAUUGGACAAUGGGGGGAACCCUGAUCCAGCCAUGCCGCGUGUGUGAAGAAGGCCUUUUGGUUGUAAAGCACUUUAAGCGAGGAGGAGGCUCCCAGUAUUAAUACUACUGGAGAGUGGACGUUACUCGCAGAAUAAGCACCGGCUAACUCUGUGCCAGCAGCCGCGGUAAUACAGAGGGUGCAAGCGUUAAUCGGAUUUACUGGGGCGUAAAGCGUGCGUAGGUGGCCAAUUAAGUCAAAUGUGAAAUCCCCGAGCUUAACUUGGGAAUUGCAUUCGAUACUGGUUGGCUAGAGUAUGGGAGAGGAUGGUAGAAUUCCAGUGUAGCGGUGAAAUGCGUAGAGAUCUGGAGGAAUACCGAUGGCGAAGCAGCCAUCUGGGCCUAAUACUGACACUGAGGUACGAAAGCAUGGGGAGCAAACAGGAUUAGAUACCCUGGUAGUCCAUGCCGUAACGAUGUCUACUA
rnacentral:rRNA from 1 species